rnacentral:rRNA from 1 species
AAGCCUUGACAUUGAUAGAAUACACCAGAGAUGGAGUAGUGCCUUUCGGGGAACUUGAAAACAGGUGCUGCACGGCUGUCGUCAGCUCGUGUCGUGAGAUGUUGGGUUAAGUCCCGCAACGAGCGCAACCCUCGUCCUUAGUUGCCAGCAGGUUAAGCUGGGCACUCUAAGGAGACUGCCUUCGUAAGGAGGAGGAAGGUGAGGACGACGUCAAGUCAUCAUGGCCCUUAUGGCUAGGGCUACACACGUGCUACAAUGGGGCGUACAGAGUGUUGCGAUACCGCGAGGUGGAGCUAAUCACUUAAAGCGUCUCUCAGUUCGGAUAGCAGUCUGCAACUCGACUGCUUGAAGCUGGAAUCACUAGUAAUCGUAGAUCAGCAAUGCUACGGUGAAUACGUUCCCGGGUCU